rnacentral:rRNA from 1 species
CCUACGGGGGGCUGCAGUGGGGAAUGUUGGACAAUGGGCGCAAGCCUGAUCCAGCUAUUCCGCGUGUGGGAUGACGGCCCUCGGGUUGUAAACCACUUUAGUAGAGAACGAAAAGGAGCUAUCGAAUAAAUAGCCCUGCUGACGGUACUCUAAGAAUAAGCACCGGCUAACUACGUGCCAGCAGCCGCGGUAAUACGUAGGGGGCGAGCGUUAAUCGGAAUUACUGGGCGGAAAGGGUGUGAAGGCGGCUGAGGAAGACAGAUGUGAAAUCCACUGGCUUAACCUGGGAACCGCAGAUGUGACUGCUUAGCGAGAGUGCGUCAGAGGGAGGUGGAAUUCCAGGUGUAGCAGGGAAAUGCGUAGAUAUGUGGAAGAACACCGAUGGCGAAGGCAGCCUCCUGGGACGCAACUGACGCUCAUGCACGAAAGCGUGGGGAGCAAACAGGAUUAGAUACCCGGGUAGUC